CCUACGGGAGGCAGCAGUGGGGAAUAUUUGGCAAUGGGCGCAAGCCUGACCCAGCAACGCCGCGUGAAGGAAGAAGGCUUUCGGGUUGUAAACUUCUUUUCUCAGGGACGAAGCAAGUGACGGUACCUGAGGAAUAAGCCACGGCUAACUACGUGCCAGCAGCCGCGGUAAUACGUAGGUGGCAAGCGUGAUCCGGAUUUACUGGGUGUAAAGGGGGUGUAGGCGGGACUGCAAGUCAGAUGUGAAAACCACGGGCUCAACCUGUGGCCUGCAUUUGAUACUGUAGUUCUUGAGUACUGGAGAGGCAGACGGAAUUCCUGGUGUAGCAGUGAAAUGCGUAGAUAUUAAGAGGAACACCAGUGGCGAAGGCGGGCUGCUGGACAGCAACUGACGCUGAGGCGCGAAGGCGUGGGGAGCAAACAGGAUUAGAUACCCUUGUAGUC
rnacentral:rRNA from 1 species